rnacentral:lncRNA from 1 species
GCGCCGCUUGCCUCUCCAUCCUUGGUCCAGUUCAGCCUGGCAAGCGUUGCCAUGGCAGCGCCGCGGGCUGGGAUGCGGGAGGCCGAGCGCGCUGCCCCGCUCGCCUCUUUGUGCCGCGGGGGUGUCGGUGCGCUGCCUCCAUACCCGGCCGCACCCGCCACUCAGACCCCGACCCCCGGGACGGGGUGAAGGGUAGGGUGUGGGAUUGCAGGGGCGCGGGGAGACGGGGGGAGGGCCGAGGGGAGGGCCGGGGGUGGGGCGCCUCCGCCCGCCAGCCGCUCCCGCAUUAAAAUUUCAUGGGCGCUGCAGCAGCUACAAAGACUACGCCGGCUGCGCUCGGGGGACCGGCGGGAGGGAGGCUGCGGACGAGGGCGGGGAGGAGUUUGCGAUGGGAGGCGCCUGCAGGGGCUCCCCCAGUUCUGCGCUGUGAGCCGGGGCACAAAGAGCUCUCUGCACUGGCGCCGCAAGACCGCGGACCCGAGCUGGAGGCAUCUCCCUGCCUACCCGUAUGGUUCCAGACACAUUCAUGUGGCCGCCGUGACCCUACCAGCAUCAAAGGAGUAAUCAAGAGUGCAAGCAAGUUUCUGAGACAGAGGAGAAGGAAGGGAAUUUCCGGGUUCUUGGAGAUGUUCAGGACCACACUGGGAAGCAGCCUUGCAGAUAAGUAUUCAAACUUCCCAGCCCACAGCCUACCAGCCUGCCCUCUACUGGUCCGUGGAGCAAAGUACAGCAUCCCUGAAUCCCCAAGUCCAGGGGGAAAUCAGCGCUCCAGCUCUUUUGCUUUCCUAUCCCUAAGACACAAAGAAAAAGCUUGUCCCCAUUUUAUGGGGCCCCAGAGAGUAAUUUUCCUACCCCACUUUUGA